rnacentral:lncRNA from 1 species
CCAGACUCCACCAAGUGAAGAACCUAGAUCUACAAGCACAAACACACUGGAGAGACUGGACACUCAGGCAAUCAUUGCCCUGAGAUGCUUGAGGACGUAAACUACAUCAACAACUACUACUACUACUACAACCGUCCUCAACAAAACCAAGGUUGGAAUCAAUGGAGGCCUAACUACUCAGAGAGGCAAUCCAGGACGCCCCGUCAUCCCGAUCUCUAUCGGUAUGGUGGACUUCCCAGAAGCAGUCUGCGACUUUGCCUCCAGCGUCAACAUUAUACCCACGGGAGGCCAUUCCUGAACACCUCGGGAGCGGUCAUCCACGCUAGUGCUGCCAAGAUCAGUUUCUACAUCAAAGGGAGGAAGGAGACCUUUUCCUUCAAGAACAAGACUACACAAAUCUCAAAGCAAUCCCGACAUGAACCAAGGAAGAGGAUCAACAGGGGGAACACGAACAAGCAAAUGUAGACUGAGUCAGCUAAGAUGGUCACUGCAGCUCAAGGAGGUCAAGACCGUCAACUCAAGUCGCCUUUCUUGGUCAAGAAGGACGACCCUAGUGUUCCAAGCAUCGAGUGCACAAUCAACGGAUAUUCUUUUCAUAAGCUCUACGACACCGGAUCUGACGUCAACAUAAUGGCCGCAGUCACUUAUCAGCUCCUGCAUGGAACCAUUCCCCUACAACCAACAUACAUUCACCUCCAGAUGAUUUUAAGGUUAUUGACAUGGGAGAAGACGAGUACAAUCCACCCAUCACCAUUGGGAGACCGUUCCUCAGCACCGUUAAAGCAAUCAUCUACAUUGGAACCAGAGAGUCCACAUGCAUUUCCCCUCUGAGAAGGUACGCUGCUAUUUUACUGACCCUAACCAUAUAGUUGAAGACUCUAAGCAGGUCAGGACAAGAAGAAGACGACGCAGCCUCAACCAGAGGAGGCAAAUUAUCAAGGACGGAUGGGCGGACUAUGAAGGAGAAGUGGUAAGGUCUGAAGACGUACAACUUGAACAGAACUGUCCUGAGGAGACCGUAGCACCGAGCCAGGUGUGGAGAGAGAAGAUAGUUAUACAUGACGAGAAGGCGCCGCCGGAACCACCGACUACGCCAUUCAGCGAAUCCCAUGACGACUGAGAAAACGAAAAGUCCCGUUUGGAGGACUUAAAAACACGGAACGCCUUGCCAAGAGGUAAACUUGGUAGUUAUCCUUUUUCCUUUCAAUUAUUUUAAAAUAGUUUGCUUAGUUAAUUAGGUUCAUAUCAUCUCGAAAAGAAAAUAAAAAUAUUAAAAAUAGUAAGCCCCAUGUGAGUAUGCUCAUGGCAUAAAACCCAUAAGUACAUUCACUGUGGUGGCGUAAAAAUAAAAUAAAUAUAUUCCUGUCCUAUAAAAAUGAAAAUAUAAAAAUAAAUUUAUGAUCCUACCAAAGAGUGUAACAUUUAUUGAGGAGGCUCAACAUGAUAAAGGUUAGAUAUUUAUGCUAACACUGAACUAGUUCCACAAAGCUUUGUUGUCUAUUUGAGCUCCACAGAAUUCAAGGAUCAAAGAAGACUAGCAGACGGAGGACAUCCUAAUCACUGUCAGGGUGCUGCCGACAUUCAAGUACACCUCCGCCACCUGCUACAUCAAAAGGAAUUACGUCAAAAUCCAGCUUGGGGGAGAGCAACCCCAUUUAUCCAGCUAAGUAUUCUACUCACGUUUAUACUUUACUCUAAUAUGCUUAUAUAUAUAUAUCUUUGCUUAGUCUGAUAAAUAAAUAAAUAAAUAAAGUUUGCUAUAAACCCUCAUGAUAAGCUCUCACAUAGAAAUGAUGAAUAGUUGCUCUGCCAUGACUAGUUCUCAAAAUUGAAAUCUCUCUCAAGUUUAGGCAUGACUGUUAUUAAUUAAGAUUUGCUCUAAACCUGAACUUGUGGGGAGAGUACUUGAUCUAAAGUCUAAGUCAUUAACGGAUACGAUAUGGGAAGGUUGAGCUGUUGUUUAUCUGUUCCUAGAGAUGCUAGAAUUCUGGAGAAUUUUAUCUUUGAAAAUCUUUAAAAUAACACAUGAUGAGUUCCUGUAUGAUGAGAGUUUAAAUUCGUACCACAGCCAUAUAUACAUGCUUGUUAGACUUUGAGCCACACAUUUACUUUUUACUACUUAUGAGCAUUGAGUGUGGUCAAGCUGUGUAGACCCUUAGGAGCUUGUCAUGUGGUUAAAUCAAGAUUCACUUGCACGUUCACUCAUACAUACUGCUUCUACUCUGGAAGUACGCAUCCACAUAUAUCCUUCCAUUUCCAUCUCCAGAACCACCCAAAAAUAUUCUACUCCUAAUCCGGGAGAGAAUAGCCAAAAACAAUCUCCUAUUUCUAUUUUUCCCUGUGAAAUAAAUGCUCAAGUUAUCUUGGUUACUACCACUUGCUACAUUAUUUCAGGAGAUGAGUGCUCUAAAAAAAAGAAGAAAGAAAAAAAAAGAGAAAGAAUACGAGGAAAUAAAAAGGGGCAAGUGCCCGGAACCUCGAAAGAAAAGAAAAAGUGAGACGAGAGGUAAAAAUGGACAAGUGUCCGACAGUAGAUUUAGGGGUACAAGAUACCCACCUAAGAGAAAUGAAAAAUAAAAUAUAGAGCAUCUCAUUCUCCUCAAAAAGUUUCAAAAGAGCAAGAAAGGUAUGUAUCCCCUGAAAAGAGCACAAGUAGAAUUAGACUUUCACCAUUGUUAUCACCAUCAUCACCAUACACCUUUCAUUCGCCACACAUGCACAUCUUGAUUUGACUUAUUGACUUGUUCUUUUGGAUCCAUGGUUUCACUAUGCAAUAAAUGUCUUGUAAGUAUGUAUUAGCUGUCUCCCACCUAUGAGCUCCAGAUAUCAAAACCUUAUUAGAGUAGGGUGAGAGAGAAGGCAAUGUCACUAUGCCUUAUACCACAAAUACCACAUACUUUGAGAGAAGGCAUAUACCAUUACUGCCUCGGUAAGGAUCCAGAAAUACCACAAAAGAGAGACUAGAGAGAGUCAUACAAGGAAUCUCUGAGUUUUAUUUGAAAAUCUGCAAAAACUCCAGAGCUACAGUUAAUCAAAGAACAAGAGACAUGGCUCAAGACACAAGUGACGGUUGCAAGCCCCAUGGUGGAAGGUACAAUGGGUUAGUUUAAAUCUUAACAGUUUACCCUAACCCAGAGAUGAGAUCUUGUUUGAACGCAUGUAUAUCUUUAAGGCAUGAAACCACUGUAGAAACUCUUGAGUCCAUCUUUGCUCAGGGACGAGCAAAGGUUAAGCUUGGGGGAGCUUGUUGACGGUCCUUAAAGCUCACAUUUAACCGUGAACUAAUCAUAGAAAAGGAUCCAAAUGCAAACAACACCUAGACUUAGGGUUUUAUCUGACAGAAUUCCACGAGUUUUGGUGUUUGUCUAUUUCUGUAGGGGGUUAUCAGGAAAUAAGAAAGAAAGGCCCACACGUCGGGUUUACAUAGAGAUAUUAACGUGCCGCGCAAUUUUCUACCAUCUAGAUGACUCUAGAAGCCACGGGAACGAACGGGAGGCCGAUCGGGCCCGGGGGCAGGGCGCCCGCCCUCCCCCCUUGGGUGCCUACCUAGCUACAGUAACCAAUCAGCUUCAACUUCGUGGAUUGUGCUCCACCGACCUAAGGGACGAAGGAAAACCGUGCGAUUAAUGUCGGUUGGAUCCGACGGCCCAGAUUCAUCUGAAAAGACUAUAUAAGCAAGGCCCCCUGGCCCCUGGAGAGCAUACCUCUUCUACAGAAUCAAAGUUAGGGUUUCAAUUCUUCAUCCAAGUAGAGAGGAUCCCUCUAGUUCUUCUAGUUCUACCUCUAGUUCAUCUAGAUCUAGUUCUAGUUCAUCUAGUUCUAAUUCUAGUUCCUCUAGUUCUAGUUCUAGUUAGUUCUAGUUGUAAUCUAGAAAAUAGGGAGAGAGAAGAGGAGAGCGGAGGAGGAGCCGGGUCUGUCGGAUCUUCCUCAACAUUAUACUUUUGCAGCAUCUGGUUCGUUCUUCAUCGUUCU